AGUGAACGCUGGCGGUAGGCCUAACACAUGCAAGUCGAACGGCAGCACAGUAAGAGCUUGCUCUUACGGGUGGCGAGUGGCGGACGGGUGAGGAAUACAUCGGAAUCUACUUUUUCGUGGGGGAUAACGUAGGGAAGCUUACGCUAAUACCGCAUACGACCUACGGGUGAAAGCAGGGGAUCUUCGGACCUUGCGCGAUUGAAUGAGCCGAUGUCGGAUUAGCUAGUUGGCGGGGUAAAGGCCCACCAAGGCGACGAUCCGUAGCUGAUCUGAGAGGAUGAUCAGCCACACUGGAACUGAGACACGGUCCAGACUCCUACGGGAGGCAGCAGUGGGGAAUAUUGGACAAUGGGCGCAAGCCUGAUCCAGCCAUACCGCGUGGGUGAAGAAGGCCUUCGGGUUGUAAAGCCCUUUUGUUGGGAAAGAAAAGCAGCAGGUUAAUACCCCGCUGUUCUGACGGUACCCAAAGAAUAAGCACCGGCUAACUUCGUG
rnacentral:rRNA from 1 species